AUUGAACGCUGGCGGCAGGCUUAACACAUGCAAGUCGAGCGGAGAGAGGUAGCUUGCUACUGAUCUUAGCGGCGGACGGGUGAGUAAUGCUUAGGAAUCUGCCUAUUAGCGGGGGACAACAUUUCGAAAGGAAUGCUAAUACCGCAUACGUCCUACGGGAGAAAGCAGGGGAUCUUCGGACCUUGCGCUAAUAGAUGAGCCUAAGUCGGAUUAGCUAGUUGGUGGGGUAAAGGCCUACCAAGGCGACGAUCUGUAGCGGGUCUGAGAGGAUGAUCCGCCACACUGGGUCUGAGACACGGCCCAGACUCCUACGGGAGGCAGCAGUGGGGAAUAUUGGACAAUGGGCGGAAGCCUGAUCCAGCCAUGCCGCGUGUGUGAAGAAGGCCUUAUGGUUGUAAAGCACUUUAAGCGAGGAGGAGGCUACUUUAGUUAAUACCUAGAGAUAGUGGACGUUACUCGCAGAAUAAGCACCGGCUAACUCUGUGCCAGCCGCCGCAGUAA
rnacentral:rRNA from 1 species